CUGUCAUAAUGGAAUACGAAUGGAUGGGCAUUUCCGGAGAGUCAUGACUCGGAGGCCGGUUUAUCUGCAAAAAUAUGAGCAGCAAAGAUUUCUGUGAAAAUGCACCAUUCUGUGGAAAUGCACCAUUCUGUGAAAAUGCACAAUAUCCGUGAAAAUGCACCAGGGCUGCCUCUACACCAACAUCAGGUGCACUCUGGGAAAUAAAAGUGAUUUCCAUAUCCUGGGAGAAGAAGGGCCCUACAAACCUCAGAUGAGAUUGCUUUCAUUGGAUCCCAACAGUGCCAGGACCAAA